rnacentral:rRNA from 1 species
AUUGAACGCUGGCGGAAUGCUUUACACAUGCAAGUCGAACGGCAGCACGGGUGCUUGCACCUGGUGGCGAGUGGCGAACGGGUGAGUAAUACAUCGGAACGUGCCCAGUAAUGGGGGAUAACCAACCGAAAGGUUGGCUAAUACCGCAUACGCCCUGAGGGGGAAAGCGGGGGAUCGAAAGACCUCGCGUUAUUGGAGCGGCCGAUGGCGGAUUAGCUAGUUGGUAGGGUAAAGGCCUACCAAGGCGACGAUCCGUAGCGGGUCGGAGAGGACGACCCGCCACACUGGAACUGAGACACGGUCCAGACUCCUACGGGAGGCAGCAGUGGGGAAUUUUGGACAAUGGGGGAAACCCUGAUCCAGCCAUUCCGCGUGAGUGAAGGGGGCCUUCGGGUUGUAAAGCUCUUUCGGCAGGAACGAAACGGCCAAGGAUAAUACCUUUGGUCAAUGACGGUACCUGAAGAAGAAGCACCGGCUAACUACGUGCCAGCAGCCGCAGUAA